GAUGAACGCUAGCGGCAGGCCUAAUACAUGCAAGUCGAACGAUACCAAGGGGCUUGCUCCCUGGAAAAGUGGCGCACGGGUGCGUAACGCGUAUGCAACCUACCUUUAUCAGGGGGAUAGCCCGGAGAAAUCCGGAUUAAUACCGCAUAAAAUCACAGGAUGGCAUUAUCCAAUGAUCAAACAUUUAUGGGAUAAAGAUGGGCAUGCGUGUCAUUAGCUAGUUGGCGGGGUAACGGCCCACCAAGGCGACGAUGACUAGGGGAUCUGAGAGGAUGGCCCCCCACACUGGUACUGAGACACGGACCAGACUCCUACGGGAGGCAGCAGUAAGGAAUAUUGGUCAAUGGGCGGAAGCCUGAACCAGCCAUGCCGCGUGCAGGAAGACUGCCCUAUGGGUUGUAAACUGCUUUUAUCCGGGGAUAAACCUACUUACGUGUAAGUAGCUGAAUGUACCGGAAGAAUAAGGAUCGGCUAACUCCGUGCCAGCAGCCGCCGUAA
rnacentral:rRNA from 1 species